AGAGUAUAGUUUUUUACACUGUUAGACGGAUAGCUUGGUUUACGUUAUGAAGAAGGACAUGGCAAGCUGUGAAAAGCCUCGGGGAUCUGCAUGCGAGAUUUGAUCCGAGGAUUUCCGAAUGCGAUGAUACGUUUGCGAAUGCAAAAUCCGAGAGGAUAAUGUACUCCGGGAAUUGAAACAUCUUAGUACCGGAAGGAGAAGAAAACAAAUUAGUGAUGCUCUUAUUAGCAGCGAGCGAAAAGGGCAGAGGGCAAACCGAAUCUGUCUUCGAAAGGAGAUUAGAGAUGUGGUGAAUAAUGUCCUGUGUUAUGAAGUCAAAAUGUUCUGGAAAGAACUGCCGCAGAGAGUGAUAGCCUCGUAGACUGAUUAAUAUGGACUAGUUCGAUACAGAGUAGUGUUUCUCAAAUUAGAAGCAUGAAUAUGGCAGAAUUAACUGCUAACCCUAAAUAUGAACGUAAGUCCGAUAGUGCACUAGUACCGCGAGGGAAAGCUGAAAAGAACUCUUAAUCGAGAGUUAAAAGACUUGAAAUCUAACAGUUGCAGUUUGUUACUGCUCUUUCACAAAUGUGAAAAGGGUUGUAACGUACGUCUUGAAAAACGGGCCAGGGAGUUUGCUUAAGUGGCGAGGUUAACGUAAAGGAAGCCAUAGCGAAAGCGAGUCUGAAAAGGCGCAAGUCACUUGGGUAAGACCUGAAGCCAGAUGAUCUAAUCAUGAGCAAGGCGAAGUUUUCCGAAAGGGAAAUGGAGGCCUGAACUAGUGUUGUGUGCAUGCACUUGGAUGAUUUGUGAUUAGGGGUGAAAAGCCAAUCUAAUCUGGCAAUGGCUGGUUCCUGCUAAAAUAUGCCUACGUAUAGUCUCAUUAUGUUUUCUUACGGUGUAAAGUACGGAUAGGUCGUGCAGAGGGCUUUUCCUACGGCGAACUUUCCAACUCAGAAACUGUAAGACGCGGAGAAUGGGAAACAGCGGCGGCGCGUAAGGUGCCGUCACGAGACCGGAACAAAGGAGACCAAAGUUAAGGUCCCAAAAUAUAUGUUAAGUGCAUCAAAAGGAGUUUUAAACCUGAGACAGUGGGGAGGUAGACAUAGAAGCCGUCAUCCUUUAAAGAAAGCGUAACAGCUCACCUAUUGAGGUUUGAAGCCCUGAAAAUGGACGGGGCUAAAACAUAUUACCGACACUUUGGAGUUACUCAUUUGAGUAAUCUAGUAAGCAGGCGUACUUGUAGCGUAGAAGCUUUUUCUAAAGAAAGAGUGGAGCUAUUAGUAAUGAGAAUCCUGGUAAUAGUAAGAACUAAUUUCGCUGAGAAUCGCGAAAUGUCGUAAGAGUAAGGUUUCCUUGGCAAUAUCAAUUAACCAAGGGUUAGUCGGACCCUAAGAUGCACCUUAACUGCGUGCAUCGAUGGACAACAGGUUAAUAUUCCUGUACUGUUUAUAUUUUAUGACGUGAUUUGCUUCAGGAUAAGCGAGAUUCCGAGAGGAAGCCUGUACAAAGAAAUUUGGGGAGCGUAAUGCGUAGAUCCAGAAUAAUUUGUGCAGUUAACGUCGCUGAUUCCAGGAGCCAGUGAAAAGAUCACGUAUUACGAAUGUAAGCAUCCGUACUAAGAAUCGACACUGAUACUCUAGCUGAGAAGGCUAAGACAUGAAAGCUAAAUCUAGUUAAGGGAAUUCGGCAACAUUGGCCCUUUAGCUUCGGUAGAAGGGGUGUCUAUUUUCGUCUUUUUAGAAAUAGGAAGGCGUUUGUAGAUCUCAGUAACAAGGACGGUUCGACUGUUUAUCAAAAACAUAGCCGGUUGCUAAUCUGAAAAGACUUGUAUAACCGGUGAAACCUGCCCAGUGGUGGUGCUUAAAACCGUGUUUCAACGCGGCUAAGACCCAUCAAACGGCGGGCCUAAUUCCUGAGGCUCUUAAGGUGAAUUGCAUUGCCUUACGUCGCUUAUAGCGACGCUGUGUAACCUCAAGAAACGAAUCGUUUAAGUUAAAGGACAAUGAAUAAACCAUAUAUUAACACAGAAAAUUUGACUAUUUGCUGGAACAUCUUGAUGAAUCGUCGUCGGAUAUUGUUCUUGUGAAAGAAUAACGAACCCGGAAAAUCGACUAGGAAAGACAAUCAGCAGGGAAGACUGGAAUUAAUUGUUAUUAUUAAGUAAUGACAAAAUAGAAACAUUUAAAUACUCUAUUUCUAUCCUUAUUAAAUGGAUAGAAAUCAAUAUCUUGGAAAAUUAGAAAAUUUUGUUGAUAAAUUUAAUGAAUAUUCUGAAAGAGCAAGAAUAAGAGGAUCCCCUCAUUCAAAUAUGCAGGGAUGGAAUGUUGUUGCUACGUUAUGGUAUAUGUUAAGAAUAGAGUUAUUAAAUUCGAGAGCAAGUUAUUCUGGUUUAGAAAUACCCCCAUUGGAUAAAGAUGAAAAUGGAAAAUUCUACAUUAGAACAAAUUAAAAAAUAUUUAUUCUAGAACCCUCAGAGAUCAUACGCCAAACAUUAAUUUAUAAUGAAGAUAUGAUCCGAUCUUUACAGUGAUGUAAAGAGCUUAUUAGAAAUAAUAAGACGCCGAUUAGAAAAAUUAAAAAAUAGAACUUCUUGAUUAUUAAUUGUAUGGUAUUACUAUUAACAACUUUGGUUUUUGAAUGCGUAGAUGAUUUGGGAUAUCACUUUGAUGUUGAAUACAUCGGAGAAAAUUAUCAAAAUAUCGUUGACACAUUAGAUCACAAAGGUUAUAAUCCUUGGUUACCUAUAACACAAGGAAUUUUUGUACCAGCACGAUUAAUAGAAUUACAUUAUAAUGGAAAUUCAGAAGAAAGAAUUCUCACAUUUAAUGAAUUCAAACAUUUAGGAAGACCAUUUUAUUUAAUCGGUCAGUAAUUUUCCGUCGAGGAAAAUGAAGUAACAGUCAUGAGCGUAAUACCUUGUCAUCUGAAUGGUGACUUGCAUGAAUGGUUUAACGAAAUCGUCACUGUCCCUAACUAGAAACUUCUGAAAAUAUCCUCCGGUGAACAGACCGGAGACGCCUAAUGGGAAGUGAAGACCUUGUGGACCUUUACUGCAACUUGUUGUUGUGAGUUUACGAUUGGUACUUAGCAUAAGUAGGAGAAUACGCGCAGCUUCGGCGAGGCGGCAUGUCGACAUUGUAAUACUACUUACUUUUUGUAGAUUCACUUACUCUUUUGAGGACACCAGCAGGCGGGCAGUUUGGCUGGGGCGGCACCCCUCUGAAAAGAUAUCGGAGGGGCCUAAUGACAAGCUCAUCUACGUCGGAAAUGUAGAGUGGAGUGUAAAGGCAAAAGCUUGUCUGACUGUAUUCCGAAUAGUAAGGAAUGCAGAGGUGAAAGCCGGGCUUAGCGAACCAUUGAUGGCUUUUAAUGGGCCACAAUUGUGACAGAAAAGGUACCACACCGCUGUCGGCUCUUCCUAUCCUGGCUGUGCACAAGCAGCCAAGGGUGUUGGAGUUCACACGUUAAAAGGAAUCGUUAGCUGGGUUAAGAUCGUCGUGAGACAGAUUGUAUAAUAUCUAUUAGGUGUGUCGUUGUCUGAGUGGAAGGAUCUCGUAGUACGAGAGGAACCGAGAUUCGAAGCCUCUGGUUUACCAGUUGUUAUGAGCAGGCUGGGCAGCUACGCUUUAUUUGGAUAAGUGCUGAAAGCAUCUAAGCACGAAGCCAUCCGCAAAACGAGACAACUAAGGCCGUCAUAGAAGAUGACGUUGAUAGAGUUGGUGUGUACGCACGAAGCUUCGGCGACGUGUUCAGCACGCAACUACUAAAAGCUUCAAACCUUUACUCU
rnacentral:rRNA from 1 species